rnacentral:rRNA from 1 species
GACGAACGCUGGCGGCGUGCUUAACACAUGCAAGUCGAACGGAAAGGCCCUGCUUUUGUGGGGUGCUCGAGUGGCGAACGGGUGAGUAACACGUGAGUAACCUGCCCUUGACUUUGGGAUAACUUCAGGAAACUGGGGCUAAUACCGGAUAGGAGCUCCUGCUGCAUGGUGGGGGUUGGAAAGUUUCGGCGGUUGGGGAUGGUCUCGCGGCUUAUCAGCUUGUUGGUGGGGUAGUGGCUUACCAAGGCUUUGACGGGUAGCCGGCCUGAGAGGGUGACCGGCGACAUUGGGACUGAGAUACGGCCCAGACUCCUACGGGAGGCAGCAGUGGGGAAUAUUGCACAAUGGGCGGAAGCCUGAUGCAGCAACGCCGCGUGCGGGAUGACGGCCUUCGGGUUGUAAACCGCUUUCGCCUGUGACGAAGCGUGAGUGACGGGAAUGGGUAAAGAAGCACCGGCUAACUACGUG